AGGGUUGUAGCUCAGUGGUAGAGCGCUUGCUUUGUGCCUGUGAGGCCCUGGGCUGGAUCCCCAGCAUCCCCA
rnacentral:tRNA from 1 species